UACGUAGGAUGCAAGCGUUGUCCGGAAUUAUUGGGCGUAAAGAGAACGUAGGCGGCUUGUUAAGUUCGGUUUUAAAGACCGGGGCUCAACCUCGGGAGUGGACUGAAGACUGGCAGGCUAGAGGAUGUCAGAGGAUGGUGGAAUUCCAAGUGUAGCGGUGAAAUGCGUAGAUAUUUGGAGGAACACCUGUGGCGAAAGCGGCCAUCUGGGGCAUUCCUGACGCUGAGGUUCGAAAGCUCGGGGAGCAAACAGG
rnacentral:rRNA from 1 species